UACGUAGGGGGCAAGCGUUGUCCGGAUUUAUUGGGCGUAAAGAGCGUGUAGGCGGUCAGGUAGGUCCGUUGUGAAAACUCGAGGCUCAACCUCGAGACGCCGAUGGAAACCAUCUGACUAGAGUCCGGAAGAGGAGAGUGGAAUUCCUGGUGUAGCGGUGAAAUGCGUAGAUAUCAGGAGGAACACCCAUGGCGAAGGCGGUUCUCUGGGCCUUACCUGACACUGAGGAGCGAAAGCGUGGGGAGCGAACAGG
rnacentral:rRNA from 1 species